GACCCUAGGGCACAAAAUUGAGUCUUGACAAUGACCUCGAGGUUCUUUUGGAGAUCGGAGAGUGAGAUUUGAUAGCAGAAUAAAUAGGCUCUAUGAACAUUGAUUUUGGGUGAUUUGGAGUUGAUAUGACUUUGUAAGAGCUUUGCAAAGUCAAGGUUUAUUUCGGAUGAUUUGGAUUUUAUGAAAUAAAAUAGAGUUUAUGUUUUGGAUGAUUUCAAGAAUUUUGUAAUAGAUCUAUGAGUGAAAUUUUGUGGAUUUAUGGUUAUAGAUGUGUUUAAUAUGUGUUGUAAAUUUGAGCUUGAUCUAACGGUUGAAUUGAGGAAUAUUGAGGUUUAAGUCGGUCAAGGUCUCAAAAAGUAGAAUUUUAGGUCUAGUAGGGAUUUUUG
rnacentral:lncRNA from 1 species